GAUGAACGCUGGCGGCGUGCUUAACACAUGCAAGUCGAGCGAAGCAGUUAAGUUGAUUUCUUCGGAUUGAUUCUUAAUUGACUGAGCGGCGGACGGGUGAGUAACGCGUGGGUGACCUGCCCCAUACCGGGGGGAUAACAGCUGGAAACGGCUGCUAAUACCGCAUAAGCGCACAGAGCUGCAUGGCUCGGUGUGAAAAACUCCGGUGGUAUGGGAUGGGCCCGCGUCUGAUUAGGCAGUUGGCGGGGUAACGGCCCACCAAACCGACGAUCAGUAGCCGGCCUGAGAGGGCGACCGGCCACAUUGGGACUGAGACACGGCCCAAACUCCUACGGGAGGCAGCAGUGGGGAAUAUUGCACAAUGGGGGAAACCCUGAUGCAGCGACGCCGCGUGAGCGAAGAAGUAUUUCGGUAUGUAAAGCUCUAUCAGCAGGGAAGAUAAUGACG
rnacentral:rRNA from 1 species